UCGUCGCCCUCUUCGUCAGUCGCUCAGUUGCCGCCGCCGCGCACGGAGCAAGGCGCGCCUUCUCCCCCACCCUCCCUCCUGCGCGCGACACGCCCUCGCCAGCUUCCUCUCGGCCCGGUUCUAACGCGAUGGUGGAUUACCACGCCGCCGGACAACCAGCUUCUUAUCAGUACGGCGGCAACGGGCCCGGCAUCGGGGACUACAUGGCUCAAGAGGACGACUGGGACAGGGACCUCCUGCUCGACCCCGCCUGGGAGAAGCAGCAGCGCAAGACUUUCACAGCGUGGUGCAAUUCCCACCUGCGGAAAGCCGGCACACAGAUUGAGAACAUUGACGAAGAUUUCCGCGAUGGCCUCAAGCUCAUGUUACUCCUCGAGGUGAUUUCAGGAGAACGGUUACCAAAACCGGAGAGAGGAAAGAUGAGGGUGCACAAGAUCAACAACGUCAACAAAGCCCUCGAUUUUAUCGCAAGCAAAGGAGUCAAGCUGGUUUCCAUAGGAGCUGAAGAAAUUGUCGAUGGCAAUGCAAAGAUGACCCUCGGUAUGAUCUGGACGAUCAUCCUCCGGUUUGCCAUUCAGGAUAUUUCCGUGGAAGAAACUUCGGCCAAGGAGGGCCUGUUGCUCUGGUGCCAGAGGAAGACAGCUCCCUACAAGAACGUGAACGUGCAGAACUUCCACAUAAGCUGGAAGGAUGGCCUUGCUUUUAAUGCCUUGAUCCACAGACACAGACCAGAACUCAUUGAAUACGACAAGCUCAGAAAGGACGAUCCGGUAACAAAUCUGAACAAUGCCUUUGAGGUCGCCGAGAAAUACCUUGACAUUCCCAAGAUGUUGGAUGCGGAAGAUAUUGUAGGCACGCUCAGGCCCGAUGAGAAGGCCAUCAUGACCUACGUCUCCUGCUUCUAUCACGCUUUUUCGGGGGCUCAGAAGGCUGAGACAGCCGCAAACAGGAUUUGCAAAGUGUUGGCGGUGAACCAGGAGAAUGAGCACCUGAUGGAAGACUACGAAAAGCUGGCUUCUGAUCUUCUGGAGUGGAUUCAGCGCACCAUCCCUUGGCUGGAGAACCGUGUCCCUCAGAAGACUAUGCAAGGGAUGCAGCAGAAGCUGGAGGACUUCCGCGACUACCGGAGGGUCCACAAGCCCCCUAAGGUGCAGGAGAAGUGCCAGCUGGAGAUCAACUUCAACACCUUGCAGACCAAGCUGCGGCUGAGCAAUCGGCCGGCCUUCAUGCCUUCCGAGGGGAAGAUGGUUUCGGACAUCAACAAUGGUUGGCAGCACUUGGAGCAGGCGGAGAAAGGUUUCGAAGAGUGGCUACUGAAUGAGAUGCGGAGGCUGGAGCGGCUGGAGCACUUGGGUCAGAAGUUCAGGCAGAAGGCAUCCAUUCACGAGUCUUGGACCGAAGGCAAAGAGGCCAUGCUGAAACAGAAGGACUACGAGACGGCCACCCUUUCGGACAUCAAAGCCCUGAUCCGGAAACAUGAAGCUUUUGAGAGCGACCUGGCGGCUCACCAGGACCGAGUGGAGCAGAUUGCGGCCAUUGCUCAGGAGCUCAAUGAAUUGGACUACUAUGACUCCCCGAGUGUCAAUGCCCGGUGCCAGAAGAUCUGUGACCAGUGGGACACGCUAGGAUCCUUGACUCACACACGGAGGGAAGCUCUGGAGAAAACAGAGAAGCAGCUGGAGACCAUCGACCAGCUCCACUUGGAGUACGCCAAGCGGGCAGCGCCCUUUAACAACUGGAUGGAGAGCGCCAUGGAGGACCUGCAAGACAUGUUCAUCGUCCACACCAUUGAGGAGAUUGAGGGUCUGAUUGCAGCCCACGACCAGUUCAAGUCCACCCUGCCUGAUGCAGACAAAGAGCGGGAAGCCAUCCUGGGCAUCCAGAGCGAAGCACAAAAGAUUGCGGAUUACAAUAACAUAAAACUCUCCGGGAACAACCCGUACACUUCGGUCACUCCACAGAUCAUCAACUCUAAGUGGGAAAGGGUGCAACAACUGGUGCCAAAGAGGGACAAUGCCUUGCAAGAUGAGCAGAGCAAGCAGCAGUCUAACGAACACUUGCGCCGACAGUUUGCCAGCCAGGCCAACAUUGUGGGGCCCUGGAUCCAGACCAAAAUGGAGGAGAUUGGGCGCAUUUCCAUCGAAAUGAACGGCACCUUGGAGGACCAGCUGAACCACCUCAAGCAGUACGAGCAGAGCAUCGUUGAUUACAAACCCAACAUCGACGUCCUGGAGCAGCAGCACCAGCUCAUCCAGGAGGCCCUCAUCUUUGACAACAAGCACACCAACUACACCAUGGAGCAUAUUCGUGUAGGCUGGGAGCAGCUCCUCACCACCAUUGCCCGGACCAGCAAUGAGGUGGAGAACCAGAUCCUGACCCGGGACGCAAAGGGAAUCAGCCAGGAGCAGAUGCAAGAGUUCCGGGCCUCCUUCAACCACUUUGAUAAGGACCACGGCGGCUCCCUCGGACCAGAAGAGUUCAAAGCUUGCCUCAUCAGCUUGGGAUACGAUGUGGAAAAUGACAGACAGAAGCGCACGGGGAGCAUGGACACCGAUGACUACCGAGCCCUCCUUAUCUCCACAGGAUACAGCCUGGGAGACGCGGAGUUCAACAGGAUCAUGAGCGUUGUGGAUCCCAACAACAGUGGCGUUGUCACCUUCCAAGCCUUCAUUGACUUCAUGUCCCGGGAGACGACAGACACGGAUACGGCUGACCAAGUCAUUGCCUCCUUCAAAGUCUUAGCUGGUGACAAGAACUACAUCACGGCCGAGGAGCUGCGACGAGAGCUUCCUCCCGACCAGGCCGAGUACUGCAUCGCCCGCAUGGCACCUUACCAGGGACCCGACGCCAUCCCCGGGGCCCUUGACUACAAGUCCUUCUCUACAGCUCUGUAUGGCGAGAGCGACCUGUGAGAUGGAGGCGGUGGAGGAGGAGGAAGAGGAGGAGGAAGAGGAGGAGGAGGAAGCCGCGGCAACAGCAAGCGCUGGCGCUUCUUGGGGGGAGGGCAGGGGGAGUAACCGUUUGAUUUCCCUCCAUGCUGUAUAAUCACAGACACAAACACACACAGACACACACAGAGCAACGGGGACAUUGUGUCCUUCUCUUUCUUUUCUCAAUCUCUCUCUCUUUCUCUCUUUGAGGACAGAAAGCUGCCGUCACCAUGCUGGGCAACCUUGGGCGCUGACUGAUGUAAACGUUCAGUUUUUUUAAAAAAAUUGAGUAUUCUGCAAACGCGGUUACCUAUGCAACGGUCCUUAUUCUUCCUUUUACCCCAAGACAGUGAGCUCAGGGGAGAGGCUGGAGGUCUCUUCAAUUUCCUGACCCUUCUCUUUCUCUUUUCUCUCGGAUGGAAAUACGGCAAUUGUCAAAAUAUGGCGAUUGUGGCUCAAUAUGACUUAUUUUUGUUAAAUAUAGAUCCAAUUCUAUUCCCCAUCUGCUCUCAAAGUUGGGAGAACUUGGCUGACACUUAUCCCAUUCUCUCUUUCUCCCUCCCCAAUUUUUUUAAUCGUGCAUGGGUAACCAAAACCAUGCCUUUAUAACAGUGGCAUGUCGGCACUCAAUGCAAUCCAGAACCGAGCUGCCUACAAUACACUUCCUGGGUACUCCGUUCCUUUCCUCACCUUCUGCUAGCUGUGCUAGGUUGUCGGGAUAUAGCCUCACCUUGCCUUUUUUACCACUUGCCCAGGGAACUCCCUCACAUCCUACUUUGCCCACCUAAUAAUACCUUCUUGCCACCUUUAGCAACGAAGAAGACAUAGAGGGGUCGGCACUUUGGGGCUUCCAAUAUACGUUCUCAGUUCUGCCGUCGCAUAGUGCUGUUCUUUGAUCCAUUUGCCCUCUCAGUACAAAAUGCCUUCUGGACUUGGCACCUCCCCUAUUUUUAUAAGAUAUCGGCACCCAUCACUUCACCGAGAACCUUCUGAUUGACAGAAUUUUUCAAUUUCAGUGUGACAGGGCACAGAGGAGAAGAAGGUGAUAUUUUGGUUGCUUUGUGGGGUCCUUCCAACAUGGGUGCGGAGGCUGUGCCUCUCUUCGUAAGCCUCGUAUUCCCCGAUCCCUUAUCGGUGAUGGAGAAAUACCUUUUGGGGGCCUGCAUCUGGCUUUGUAAGUCAGCCCCUUCCCCAUAAAGACACUCAUUUUAUAAAAAAUCUAGGAACACAUGUCUUUCAGCAAUACAAACCAAGCAACAUAAACAGGUUGGGGGGUCUCUUAACUUUCUUCCAAGGGCUGGAAGUCGAGCAUCCAUCAUAGAAGUAGGAUGUGUCCAUUUCCUCCCUCUUUUUUUCCAGAACCAGGUUGGUUUGGGGUAGAUAAUAGUUGGAAGAGGAAUGUUUGGGUUUGAUGAGAGAGAAAUGAAGUGAAAUUGGUGAUCUGUAGGGGUUCCGGGAAUAGUCUUGAAUCAUGUCUGAAAUUGUGGGGAGGACCACCUACCCCACGCUAUCUGAUGUUGUGGGGAAGACCAUGCACCCUACACUAUCUGAGGUUGUGAGGAGGACCAUCCACCCCAUGCUAUCUGAGGUUGUGGGGAGGACCACCCACCCCACACUAUCUGAGGUUGUGGGGAGGACUAUCCACCCCACGCUAUCUGAGGUUGUGAGGAGGACCAUCCACCCUACACUAUCUGAGGUUGUGGGGAGGACCAUGUACCCCACACUAUCUGAGGUAGGGAGGACCACCCACCCCAUGCUAUCUGAGGUUGUGGAGAGGACCAUCCACCCCACGGUAUCUGAGGUGUUGAGGAGGACCAUCCACCCCACACUAUCUGAGGUUGUGGGGAGGACCACCCACCCCACACUAUCUGAGGUUGUGGGGAGGACCACCCAGCCCACGCUAUCUGAGGUUGUGAGGAGGACCAUCCACCCCACGCUAUCUGAUGUUGUGGGGAGGACCAUCCACCCCACGCUAUCUGAGGUUGUGGGGAGGACCAUCCACCCCACGCUAUCUGAGGUUGUGAGGAAGACCAUCCACCCCAUGUUAUCUGAGGUUGUGGGGAGGACCACCCAACCCACGCUAUCUGAGGUUGUGAGGAGGACCAUCCACCCCACGCUAUCUGAGGUUGUGAGGAGGACCAUCCACCCCACACUAUCUGAGGUUGUAGGGAGGACCACCUACCCCACGGUAUCUGAGGUUGUGGGGAGGACCACCCACCCCACCGUGAUUGAGAUUGUGGGGAGGACCACCCACUCCACCCCAAAUGUCCCGUUCGCAUCCUUGGACGACAGGGAAACCGGGGACGGCAUCCGAAGCAAGUCCUUCUGGGCGCCUCACGUUUGUUCCGCUCAGCCGCUCUCUCUCUCCUUCCCUCGCAGGGCAGAAGCAACUCGCUCGUUCUUAAGUCUUCCUCACUUUCUCUUCACUUUUUUGAAAACAACCCUUUAAGAAAAGAAAAAAAAAUCCCAUCGCUUCUCACGCUUAUAUAUAUAUAUAAAUAUAUUAUAUAUAUCUAUUUUUUUGUAAUUUCUUCAUCAUGGUGCAGGGUUUUCUGAGGACCAAAAUUUAAAACGGAAGAGAACCAUGCGGAGAUCUUUUUUUUAAGAAAAAUAAAAAGGAGAGAAAUUUAAAAACACAGCAAAACUGUUUCGAUUUAAUAACGUCCAGAUUUAUUAUUAUUAUUAUUAAAUAUAUAUAUUCAUCUAGCAUCGUAUAUUGCCGAUGGGUGGUGUGGCUUUUUGUUUUGUUUUGGUCUCUUUUUUUCUUCUUUUUUUCCGCGGGGGGAUUUCUUUCCCUCGUCUUCGUCCUUUCAUCAUGUACCUUAAUGUUAUGGCUGAUGGUAGCACUGGAAACUGUAACAUUCCCCACAUAUUUUUUUUCUUUCCUCCCCUUUGGGAUCAUCGAGCUUUCAUUUUGGUUCUCUCUUCUUUCUUUUUUUGUCGUCUCGGAAAGGUUUAGCUUAUUUUAUUGCGUUCGCUACUGAAUCCCUGUCUCAAGGGGCGGAUGAUUCAGCCGAUAGGGAGUAGCUGGGUUUCUGUCCACCUCCGUUCAUCAUCACGUCUUCUCUAAAACUUCCAAGCUUUCUGGGGAAACUUGCCCUCCUCCCUUCUUGGGAACAAAACAAUAAAGUGUAAUAUUUUUAAGGA